rnacentral:rRNA from 1 species
AGCGGCAGGCUUACACAUGCAAGUCGAGGGGUAAGUUCCUACUUGUAGGAAACACGACCGGCGCACGGGUGAGUAACGCGUAUACAACUUACCUUUAACUGGGGCAUAGCCCGAAGAAAUUCGGAUUAAUACCCCAUAACAAUGAUGAAUCACCUGGUUUAAAAAUUAAAGUUUCGACGGUUAGAGAUGGGCAUGCGUCCUAUUAGUUUGUUGGUGAGGUAACGGCUCACCAAGACUACGAUAGGUAGGGGGCCUGAGAGGGUUAUCCCCCACACUGGUACUGAGACACGGACCAGACUCCUACGGGAGGCAGCAGUGAGGAAUAUUGGUCAAUGGACGAAAGUCUGAACCAGCCAUGCCGCGUGAAGGAUGACGGCCCUAUGGGUUGUAAACUUCUUUUAUAUAGGAAGAAACCCCUCUACGUGUAGAGGGCUGACGGUACUAUACGAAUAAGGACCGGCUAACUCCGUGCCAGCAGCCGCGGUAAUACGGAGGGUCCAAGCGUUAUCCGGAUUCAUUGGGUUUAAAGGGUGCGUAGGCGGAUUAAUAAGUCAGUGGUGAAAUCCUGCAGCUUAACUGUAGAACUGCCAUUGAUACUGUUGAUCUUGAGUAUAGUUGAGGUAGGCGGAAUGUGUAAUGUAGCGGUGAAAUGCUUAGAUAUUACACAGAACACCGAUUGCGUAGGCAGCUUACUAAGCUAUAACUGACGCUGAUGCACGAAAGCGUGGGGAGCGAACAGGAUUAGAUACCCUGGUAGUCCACGCCGUAAACGAUGAUCACUCGUUGUUGGCGAUACACAGUCAGCGACUGAGCGAAAGCAUUAAGUGAUCCACCUGGGGAGUACGGUCGCAAGAUUGAAACUCAAAGGAAUUGACGGGGGCCCGCACAAGCGGAGGAACAUGUGGUUUAAUUCGAUGAUACGCGAGGAACCUUACCUGGGCUUAAAUGUAGAGUGCAUAAACGGGAAACUGUUUUUUCCUUCGGGACUCUUUACAAGGUGCUGCAUGGUUGUCGUCAGCUCGUGCCGUGAGGUGUCGGGUUAAGUCCCAUAACGAGCGCAACCCCUAUCGUUAGUUGCCAGCGAGUCAAGUCGGGGACUCUAACGAGACUGCCGGUGUAAACCGCGAGGAAGGUGGGGAUGACGUCAAAUCAGCACGGCCCUUACGUCCAGGGCUACACACGUGUUACAAUGGCCGAUACAAAGGGCAGCUACCAGGUGACUGGAUGCUAAUCUCGAAAGUCGGUCUUAGUUCGGAUCGAAGUCUGCAACUCGACUUCGUGAAGCUGGAUUCGCUAGUAAUCGUAGAUCAGCAAUGCUACGGUGAAUACGUUCCCGGGCCUUGUACACACCGCCCGUCAAGCCAUGGAAGCUGGGGGUACCUGAAGUCUGUCACCGCAAGGAGCGGCCUAGGGUAAAACUGGGUGACUGGGGCUAAGU